GCCGACGUGGUGUAGUGGCAUACACCUGGCAAGGCCUCUGGAGCCCAGAGGUCGCUGGUUCGAUUCCAGCCGCCGGCA
rnacentral:tRNA from 1 species